GAUGAACGCUGGCGGCGUGCCUAAUACAUGCAAGUCGAGCGAACAGACGAGGAGCUUGCUCCUCUGACGUUAGCGGCGGACGGGUGAGUAACACGUGGAUAACCUACCUAUAAGACUGGGAUAACUUCGGGAAACCGGAGCUAAUACCGGAUAAUAUAUUCAACCGCAUGGUUCAAUAGUGAAAGACGGCUUUGCUGUCACUUAUAGAUGGAUCCGCGCCGCAUUAGCUAGUUGGUAAGGUAACGGCUUACCAAGGCAACGAUGCGUAGCCGACCUGAGAGGGUGAUCAGCCACACUGGAACUGAGACACGGUCCAGACUCCUACGGGAGGCAGCAGUAGGGAAUCUUCCGCAAUGGGCGAAAGCCUGACGGAGCAACGCCGCGUGAGUGAAGAAGGUCUUCGGGUCGUAAAACUCUGUUAUUAGGGAAGAACAAAUGUGUAAGUAACUAUGCCCGUCUUGACGGUACCUAAUCAAAAAGCCCCGGCUAACUACGUG
rnacentral:rRNA from 1 species